rnacentral:tRNA from 1 species
GGUAAAAUGGUCGAGAUUAGGCAAUAAAUUGUAAAUUUAUUUACGAAUAAAAUUAAUUCUUUUACCA